UACAGAGGGGGCAAGCGUUGUUCGGAAUUACUGGGCGUAAAGGGCGCGUAGGCGGCCUGUUAAGUCGAACGUGAAAUCCCCGGGCUCAACCCGGGAACUGCGUCCGAUACUGGCAGGCUUGAAUCCGGGAGAGGGAUGCGGAAUUCCAGGUGUAGCGGUGAAAUGCGUAGAUAUUGGGAAGAACACCUGAGGCGAAGGCGGGUUGCUGGGCCGACACUGACGCUGAGGCGCGAAAGCCAGGGGAGCGAACGGG
rnacentral:rRNA from 1 species